rnacentral:rRNA from 1 species
GGAAUAUUGGACAAUGGGCGCAAGCCUGAUCCAGCAACGCCGCGUGGAGGAUGAAGGCCUUCGGGUUGUAAACUCCUGUCAGGUGGGACGAAAAGGUUUCGGUUAAUAUCCGACGCCUCUGACGGUACCAUCAGAGGAAGCCCCGGCUAACGCCGUGCCAGCAGCCGCGGUAAUACGGAGGGGGCGAGCGUUAUUCGGAAUUAUUGGGCGUAAAGGGCGCGUAGGCGGCUUGAUAAGUCAGGGGUGAAAUCCCUCGGCUCAACCGAGGAACUGCCUCUGAAACUAUCUCGCUUGAGGCCGGGAGAGGGUAGUGGAAUUCCCAGUGUAGCGGUGAUAUGCGUAGAUACUGGGAGGAACACCAGUGGCGAAGGCGGCUACCUGGACCGGUUCUGACGCUGAGGCGCGAAAGCGUGGGGAGCAAA